rnacentral:rRNA from 1 species
GCGGUACUUGUACCAAUUGAGAUUUUAACACGAAGUGAGUGGCGAACGGGUGAGUAACACGUGGGUAACCUGCCCAGAAGUAGGGGAUAACACCUGGAAACAGAUGCUAAUACCGUAUAAUAGAGAAAACCGCAUGGUUUUCUUUUGAAAGAUGGCUCUGCUAUCACUUCUGGAUGGACCCGCGGCGCAUUAGCUAGUUGGUAAGGUAAAGGCUUACCAAGGCAGUGAUGCGUAGCCGACCUGAGAGGGUAAUCGGCCACAUUGGGACUGAGACACGGCCCAGACUCCUACGGGAGGCAGCAGUAGGGAAUCUUCCACAAUGGACGCAAGUCUGAUGGAGCAACGCCGCGUGAGUGAAGAAGGGUUUCGGCUCGUAAAGCUCUGUUGUUAAAGAAGAACGUGGGUGAGAGUAACUGUUCACCCAGUGACGGUAUUUAACCAGAAAGCCACGGCUAACUACGUGCCAGCAGCCGCGGUAAUACGUAGGUGGCAAGCGUUAUCCGGAUUUAUUGGGCGUAAAGCGAGCGCAGGCGGUCUUUUAAGUCUAAUGUGAAAGCCUUCGGCUCAACCGAAGAAGUGCAUUGGAAACUGGGAGACUUGAGUGCAGAAGAGGACAGUGGAACUCCAUGUGUAGCGGUGAAAUGCGUAGAUAUAUGGAAGAACACCAGUGGCGAAGGCGGCUGUCU